UAAUUUACAUGAUGAAUUAUUCUCAGUUAUCCCUGUCAGACUAAUAUUGAUGGUGAUUUCUAUAAUUCUGAGAAGUUA